UUCCUCCUCUCACCACAGACGCUCCUCUUCCUCGAUCUGCCGCCAUUCUUCAGGUGGCCUUCCCCCUUUCUCCUCCUCUAUGCCGCCGUUGCCCGUCCUCCUUCUCCCGCAUCUCCUCCCCGUUGUCAGGCGCGCUGUGCCGCCAUCCUUCCUCCUCCCCAUCGAGGCCAGGCAGAGGAGGAGGAGCGCGGUGCGCGGACAUGACGAGGAAGCAGCCGGCGUCAGCGCGCGCCGCCCGGCCAAGGUCUUUUCCUGCAUGCGCGACCUCCUCGCCAAGCCCUUCCCAUACGCGCGGGUCCUCGCUGCCUGGCUCUACCUCCACUGCGACCUCGUCCAGGACGCCCGCAGCGCCGCCGCCGUCCGCGCCGCCGACGGCCAGAUCCAACACCGUCGAGGAGACCGUCGCCAUGGUGCUCCACUAUGCCUCGGGGAUCGAUCAACCCCAUGAUGUCGCCGCCGUCUCCUUCGUCCAGCCGGCAUGCCGCCGCCGUCGUCUUCGCGUGCACAUGAUAGGAGGUGUGCGACCCUCCUCUCUCGCGCACUGCGGCCGCUUCGCCCCGCCAUCGUUCCUCGGGUGUGGUCGCGCCUGUCUUCUUACCGCGUCGUCGCUCCUCCUCCAGGCCGCCGGCGGCACCCGUCCUCCUCCCUCAUCCUCUCCAGGUGGCUGGGACGCUUUACGCUCGUAGAUGCGAGGCUCACUCGGAUGUGAAGGUGCCCCUGCAUUGGAGCCCAAGGAUGCACUGUAUGCGUGAGGUUGUUAUCGCACUGAGGAUGCUAUGGGAAAACAGGGACAUAUUUGAUCUUGUUAUCAGUGAUGUGCACAUGCCAGACAUGGAUGGCUUUAAGCUUCUUGAGCUUGAAAUGGACCUCCCUAUCAUCAGAGUAAUGGAAUGUUAAUUGGCUGGUGGCGGCAUGUUCAAGUAUGGGGAAUGAUGAGCUCCUACUUCUUUUUAUGCCAGCUCUAUGCCAUAGUAAAAUGCUCUAUUUUCAAGUGGCAUCAUACAGCGAAGGAGGGGGUCUGGAUCAAGAGCUGUAAUGUUGCUUGUGACGACAUGUCUAGCACUUGCGCGACCCUGGAUUCUAGCUUCUUGCAAGUAAGCUCCUUUUGCUGGACUCUCGCUUCUUCUUGCAAGUAAGCUCCUUUUGCUCUUCUAUGCCCCCCUCCCGUGAGAAUCUCUGGUUGGAUUUGGGUAACCAGACCCCAAGAGAUGUAAUCAUGUUUGGAUAAGAACUGUGCAUGCUAGCUUGAUUUAGUUUAUAGGAGUAAAUUUUAUAGAUGAAUUCUGUAUGCUUGCUCGAUGGUGAUACAUGCCAUAUCUCUGGAUUGACUCUAUGAGGUAGCCAUUAACGUCUGAGGUUUCACACAGAAAUGAGUUUGUUGCAUUCUCAUGUUGAAAAGAAUUAAAGACACCUAGCAGAAUAUGAUGUAAAAGUUUUUAGUUCUUAUUGGGCCCGUCCACCUAUCAAGGUUUGCUGAAAGUUAUCAACUUGCUUUGUAGGCUUUGUAUCAUGUAUCUUUGUUUGUGCAAGAAAUCCAAUUGGAAUUGGUCUGUUGUCCUACGCAUGUACUUUCUUUUAUUGCUUAUAUAUUUCAACCACUUACUUAUGUUGUCUCUUAACCAUUUCCGACGGCUCAGGUUGGCCAUACUAUUGUGAUAAUCUCGGCCAGGAUCAUUCUUUAUAUCAUGUUGGAUCAUCUUGGAGUUCGUAGAGCCAUUUACCGUCGAAAGAUGUACUCAUAGAACAUAAUCAGUGUGAUCAUGCUUUUCUACACUUUUGUCCUGAGCAAUGGGAUAUGUAUUCUGUACUGUAUGACUACUCUCUAAUGCACUACUCAACCUUCAGUCUCUGUAUGUACAAAUGACUUUGAUCUAAUUGUUAUGAAUGACCUAUGGAGUGUUUUGCUUUCUAUAUAAAUAACUUGCUUUAAUUCUGAUUUAUCAUAUUGUGUAGCUUUUGACCUAUUCCUUUUUGCCAAACUUGAUGCGUCAAGCUUUGAGCUACUAUACUGACAGUGAAGGUAAAAUUCCAAUAUACUCUCCUGCAGCAUGCUCAUAUCACCUACUAAUCCACAAGUACAUGUUCUAUGUAAGAUAAACGCUCUCUUUGCUAAAAGCAUGGGCUCUGCAUUAUGUUCCUACUUUAAUUACUUUCGCUCUUAUAUUUGGUAUCGAACUUAAUGACGAGUGGUUAUCUUUUGUGGUCUUAUGAACAUGCUGAAUUUGAUGUUGCCUUAUAGUCUUAUGCCGAUAUUGAACUCCAUUAUCUCUUCUGUCACAAACAAAAGUUUUUUCUUCACUUCAUUUUGUUACCAUGUUUGAAUUCAUACGCUAAACGUAAAUUCCUACUAACUUGCCACUACUUGUUUCAUCAAAACAUUGGGACCGGCACCCUAGCGCCAAGGCGCGAUCCCGA